rnacentral:rRNA from 1 species
GAUGAACGCUGGCGGCGUGCCUAAUACAUGCAAGUCGAACGCUUCACUUCGGUGAAGAGUGGCGAACGGGUGAGUAAUACAUAAGUAACCUGGCAUCUACAGGAGGAUAACUGAUGGAAACGUCAGCUAAGACCGCAUAGGUGUAGAGAUCGCAUGAACUCUAUAUGAAAGGUGCUACGGGACUGGUAGAUGAUGGACUUAUGGCGCAUUAGCUUGUUGGUAGGGUAACGGCCUACCAAGGCGACGAUGCGUAGCCGACCUGAGAGGGUGACCGGCCACACUGGGACUGAGACACGGCCCAGACUCCUACGGGAGGCAGCAGUAGGGAAUUUUCGGCAAUGGGGGAAACCCUAACCGAGCAACGCCGCGUGAAGGAAGAAGUAAUUCGUUAUGUAAACUUCUGUCAUAGAGGAAGAACGGUGGAUAUAGGGAAUGAUAUCCAAGUGACGGUACUCUAUAAGAAAGCCACGGCUAACUACGUG